rnacentral:tRNA from 1 species
AGUUAAAAGCGCAAGGAACAAGCCUAAUGUCUUGAAAACAUUAAGAAAGAAGUUCAAAUCUUCUAUUAACUU